AUGGGUCUCUAUGGGUCCCAAUGCUUUUCUAUGGGUCCCAGUGUGUCUCUAUGUGUCUCUAUGGGUCGGUAUGGGUCGCUAUGGGUCGCUAUGGGGCACUAUGGGUCUCUAUGUGUCUCUAUGGGUCGCUAUGGGUCGCUAUGGGUCGCUGUGGGUCUCUAUGGGUCCCAGUGCUUUUCUAUGGGUCUCUAUGGGUCCCAAUGCUUUUCUAUGGGGUCUCUAUGGGGCGCUAUGGGGUCUCUAUGGGUCUCUAUGGGUCCCAGUGCUUUCCUAUGGGUCGCUAUGUGUCGCUAUGGGUCGCUGUGGGUCUCUAUGGCUCCCUACGCGUCUCUAUGGGUCUCUAUGGGUCACUAUGGGUCGCUAUGGGUCUCUAUGGGUCGCUAUGGGUCGCUAUGGGUCGCUAUGGGUCGCUAUGGGUCGCCGUAGGGCCACAUCGUGCUGGCCGUGGGUCCCUGUGGGUCGCUGUGGGUCGCUAUGGGUCUCUAUGGGUCUCUAUGGGUCCCAGUGCUUUCCUAUGUGUCGCUAUGUGUCGCUAUGGGU
rnacentral:lncRNA from 1 species